AGGUUUGGGAGAAAAGGACGUUGUCAUUAAAUUGACAUCAAGCAACCAUAAGACAACUGGGGAAAAGCAGAGAUCUAUGUCCUUCAGCUUUUGCUAAGAUAUUCGUACCAUGAUAUUUGGGCUAUUUGAUAAUGGCAUGUGGAGUACUCUCAACAGAAGUGAGAUGUAAACCUAGAAAACCUGCUCUUGGAUGCUGAUGUGAAAAUCAAAAUUUCAGACUUUAACCAGCAGCAAGUCACCUUUGCCAACAAAGCUGGAUACCUCCUGUGGCAGUCUCCCAUGUUACUCCAAAUGCUUCCAGAGCCAAAAGUAUAAUGGGCUUGAGAUGGAUGUGUAGAGCUUGGGAAUCAUUGUAUAUACACUGUCACUGAAGACAACAGCGGUGCUGAUAUGAGGACUAAAUGACACAGUGGCUGCAAAGCACCCAGCGAGAGUGAUCAGAAGGCAGAUACUCAAGACUUCUUAUUCAGGACUCUGCACUUCCGAGUUAGCACCAGAAUGAUUUCUCAUUUUUGUGAACAUCAAAAGGCCUGUUUUUUACCCUCCCCAUCGACACCUUUUCUUUCUGCCUCCUGUCCCUAAGGAUAGCAAUAAAACAUAUCUGGAAGCCCAAUUAGGCAAGUACAACUCCUGUCUGUCUUAUCUUAAUCCUGCCAGUAAUAGAACAGUAAUUGUUCAGAGAAACUACAAGGGAAAUGGUGGGUAAGGAGAGCAGACGCUGCUCCAAUUGAUCUCAAUUACUGUCAUGAAAUUGAGUCUUCUGUCUGACGUCUAAAUUUAAUGCUUCUUUUCCCUGAGGAUCUGUCGCUGGUUGUUGCCUCCUAUUGUAUCUGCGGUUGGCCUGUCACCGUCUGCAUUGCCCUCUUCAUCAGAAUGAAGGAGUUGUUUUCAUUCACCUAGAAUUUCCUCUAUGCUUUUCUGCUGCCUAGAUCCCUCCUCUAGUCCUCUGACAUUCAUAUUUGAAUCUUUUCAUUUUCUCUGGCUCAACACCCAGAGAAGAACUAUGUUGUGGUUUGGCAUACAAAGAAUUAAUUUCCAUUUAUGAACAAGAACACAAUUUUUCAAAACCUAAACAAGAUGAGUGUAGGCUUUGCCCAAAGGAUGAAAACAUUCUGAAGUGAAUUAUAUCCCUCUUUAUUUGGGUGCAAUUAGGAAAGUUAAUUAUGGGUAAUUUUCAGCAUGCAUAUGCUUUCAUUUUGCUGAUUUAUAAGGAGGCAUAAACAUAAUUAGGUGUGCAUAUGCAUCCUCACAGUUUAAUGGGCCCUGUAUUCCCUGUAAUAGCGAGGCUCAGCAUGUUGUUGAUGUGUCAUUUUUCAGACCAAGGUAUAGGAAGCUUUCUUGGAUCGACUGUCCCUAGGAAAUUACAGGGAAAUGCAAAGUAUAUAGUUAUAUGAUUUCAGAAGUAAUGGUAUCUUAGGACACAUUCACCAUCUGCUUUUCAUCUUAAAAGACGUUCAAUGGAUUUAGAUGGAUUUAGACAAUGUGUGUCCUUAAAGUAGCAGUUCCUUUUAAGUUGUAAAGUUAUCUGUGUUUAGAAAUUAACAAAUUUAUAGUGUUUUAGAAGUCCAUAAAAAAGCAUCCAGUUAAGAUGAGGUUUUAUAGAUGAGGUUGUUCAGACUCAUUUAAUUGAAGUAAUCUUCUCAAGGUUAUGCAGUUUUUGAGAAGCCUAUAAAUGAGUUGGUGAAAAAUGAAAGAAGUAGAAUUUUUUUACUGUUGGUGUAGCAUCUGCAUUUCCCUGGAUUCCCAGCUUUAGUGCCAGCAGGACCAGCUACAUAAUUUGCAGGGCUUAGUGCAAAAUGAAAAUUCAGGUCCCUUGUCCAAAAACGAAGACUUAAAGAUGAUAACCACAGAACAUUAAACCAAGCACAGAUUCCUUCUAAGCUCAGGGCCCUGUUUGACUGCACUGGUUGCACAUUCAUCAAGAUGACUCCGAGUACCACAAUAGUAUGAGAUAACACAAAAUUGGCUUCUAAAAGGUAGUGAGCAGAAUGACGCCAAGAUCAAGGUUAUGGAGAAAUAACUGCAAACAGUAUUUCCAUGGGCACUGGUCAGAGAACAAGAAGAAAGGUUAAUAUCCCAACUGAGAAAGUUUAUGUAAUUGUUUUCAAAUAACUGCUUAAAUGCUAGAAACAGAGCUUGUUUGAUUAAUCAAUAGACAAUCAGUUAUGCUUGAAAGACAGAGAAAUUUCUUCAACGUCCCACUUACUUUCCUUCCAAAAGAAGGAAAACAAGCAAAAGGGUAAGAUAAUGAAGGCAUACAGUAUCUUUAGAAAGACCCAGUUAUAAUAAAGACAAUACAUUUUGUGGAAAUAUCCAUCAUAAUAUUCUCAGCACUACAUUGGGUGAAGAAUGUAGACUAUCAUAUGCUUUCUCCUGAGGAGUUUUCUGUCCAGUAGAAAAGAUAAUCUUAUAAAAUUACUUUCAUGAAAAUUAGAAAGUUCUGAGUAGUUUCAAUAGUAAUUUCAGAGCUCAGAUAAAUGAAAACAGACUAAAUGGGUGCUAAUUUACAUUUAUUGUUCCUGUACUGUAUGCCAAACUGUAUUAGUGAGUCCUCUCAAAGCAGUACUGUGAAAUAAGUAUUAGUAUCCUCAAUUGUGAGAUGUGUAAUCAGAGACUAAGAAAAUUUAGGUUACUCAUCCAUGACCACAGAUAUAAGGAGAGCUUUGGAAUGACACUGCAAGUACAUCUGAUCUGUAAGCCAGUGAUUCUCAAAUGAGGUUCUUGGACCAACUGCAUCAGCAUCAGCUGAGAACCACUAGAAAUGCAAAUACUUCGGUCCCACCCCAUACCUACUGAAUCUGAAUCUCUGGUGUUGGGGGCGGGUGUGGUCAGCAGUCUGUUUAGCAAGCCCUCUGAAGGAGACCGAUGUGCCCUGGAGUUUGAGAUCCACUGAAUUACCUAAUGCUUUUUCUUCUGUGUCUUGUGCUGCUUUCUAACACUUAUUGAGUACCUAUUAUGAGUCCAACAUUCUGCUAGGUGUUUGAUGUAUUUUAACGAUUUAAUCCUUGUAAUUAUCCAGAUAAGCAGGUAUUGUGCUUCAUUUUUAGAUUUAAUGAA